UAGGGGUAGUGAAGUUUGUUACAUUUUUCUAGACAUCAGUUGUGUGAUUAUAUUUUUAAAUCCAGGAUGUAAUACAGUUCAUUUCUGGCCUCCGUACGGGUAUUGUUUAGUAUGUCUGAUUUUCAAGUCUGGCUUAUGGAAUAUUUCCACCUUGUAUUCUGUUUUGUAACUGCUGGCUUGAAAACUGUAGGAAACAAGUAUUACAAAGCUCACUAUGCUCUCCACUUAAAGUAGAAUUCUCUGGCUUAUGCAUGAUGAAAAUACAUUUUACCAUGCACAAAAUAAAUGAAGCUAAAAUCUCUCGACUUUUUACAAAAUGGAAAAAGUAGGAUAUGGAUUUCAUAUUUAAAUUCUUAUCAUCUGACUAAAAGAAGUGAAGUUACUUUUAAGUUGUGGCCAUUUUAGAAUAUCUUUUAGAUAUAUUUCUAACAAAAUGUCUUAGCUGUUUAUUAGGAGAACAGUUUUAUUCUGUGUAAAAAAAUUUACUUCAUUUUACCUUCGCAUUUAUAUGUAACCCUAAGAAAUUUUAGAUGUGAAAUAUUUUAAUUAGCCAAGCAAGAAUUAGGCAAUGUGGGUAAAAGUGGGAUAGAUGUCCACUGGAAAGUAAACCAAUUUACCAAAACUAGUUCUUUAUCCUAUAACUUUUUCUUAAACACACAUAUGUAGCUUCUUGUUAUAUGUGUUUCUAGACUAUAACAUUGUCAGUUGAGAGGGUUUUAAGUUUUUGUUUCAGCCUAGUAGCUAUUUUAUUGGUAAAGAAUUCUAUUUUCUUAUUGUAGCCUGGUGUGUGCCUUGCCUAGUUUCACUUGAUACUCUCCAGGAAUUAUGUAGAAAAGAAAAGCUCACAUGUAAAUCGAUUGGAAUCACCAAAAGGAAUCUAAACAAUUAUGAGGUGGAGUACUUGUGUGACUACAAGGUAGCAAAGGUAAGGCAAUGUCCAGCCCCUUGGCAGAGACCUGUCCACACUGCAGUGUUUCAUGUUUCUCUAACAUAAAAAGAGCCUCAAUAUAAGUGAAGCUCUUCUUGUUUAACGUUGUAAGAUAUAGAGUUACUCGGUCAACACUGAGGGGAUUCUGAACCGUCAAAUGCUUUUGCAUUAGAAUAUUUAGGGUGUUUAUAUCCUGCAUCCAACUCUUGACUGUUUGCAUAUGGAUUCCCAGAGCAAAUUUGUUAGGCCUGAUUGGUUUGUCCUGCAAUUCGUGUUGUUCCUGAAUCCUAUUUCCUAUCACUGGCAGGAACCCAGGUUUCAAGCCAGCUCUAGAAUAUUGAAUGUCCUCUAGGAGAAGCAGCAAGCAUCCUGCAUUCUGUCUGACUCGGUGCCCUACAGGUGUGGUGUGAUAGGAUGGACUGACUUGUGUGAUCAUUUCAGUCCACUGUUUCAUAGCUUACAAUGUGAGCAAAUUAGUUCUUCCAAGAAUCUAUUUUACCUAAAUCCCAUAGUUAUAGUUUCCAUAAUCCAUUUACUUGUAGCCUUCCUCUGAGAACUGGCCAGUAAUCUAAGAUCUUACAGAUAAAUAAUCAGGAGUCCUACAUAAAUUAUGUGAUUUUUUUUUUUUUUUCAUUUCUGCUGAGCUUAAGUGCAUUUCAUCCUUUGAAAUGCUGUCUUCCUGUGGUAGCAUUGCCUUCCCCAGCACAGAGAUCUUGGUCUAGCAUCUCUCCCAACACCCUCAGCAUCCUGCUCGUAAGUAAAAGAGCCUAAUCAUGUGCCAUCGUGGUUUACGAGCCCUAGACUGAGCAGUCCAGCUGAGAGUAUCGUUUGAUCAUAUGCAUUAACUCCAUUAAGCUGUGCCUGCUGGACCUGGUAGCCCUGGAAUCCCAGCGACUAGCAAGGCUGAAAUAGGAAGCUCAUAAGUUCAUGCCCAUCUUGCGCAACUUAGGCUCCUUAAAACUUAGUUUUAAGAACGUUUUUAAAGGAAACUACAGCUCCGUGUUAGAGCCCAGCAAACAUAAAGCUCCAAUCAUGCUUUCAGUCCACACGUGG
rnacentral:lncRNA from 1 species